rnacentral:rRNA from 1 species
UACGAAGGGGGCUAGCGUUGCUCGGAAUUACUGGGCGUAAAGGGAGCGUAGGCGGGUUAUCAAGUUGGAGGUGAAAGCCCAGGGCUCAACCUUGGAAUUGCCUUCAAAACUGAUAGCCUAGAGUAUGAUAGAGGUAAGUGGAACUCCGAGUGUAGAGGUGAAAUUCGUAGAUAUUCGGAAGAACACCAGUGGCGAAGGCGACUUACUGGAUCAUGACUGACGCUGAGGCUCGAAAGCGUGGGGUGCAAACAGG